AAGACUUGGAAUCCAUGUCCGCUAUUGAUUUUACAUGAAGAAAAUGGUUCAGAUCCAUUUGAGUACUAGAAAGAGCCCAUUUAGAAGCACAAAGUAGACCAUAAAAUCUAUAUGCUAUAAAAAAGAAACCCCAUUGCAUACUGAGAGUUCAUUUUAUAUCGCAGAGUUCAUUUAUGAACACAUAGCUGAUAAUGGAUAAAACCCCUGUUGUAUUAUGCUAAAUCUAACCGCCCUUUGCCACACAGCAGACCAGGGGGUGAGGCAGGAGGACCUCUGGUCACCUGUGCGCAGCUCGGCUUUUGCUGGCCUGUCUCAUGGCCAGAGCUGUCGAAUGCAUCAGGCUGUGAUAGCGCAUGUUACACAGCAGCUGCUUCUGUAAUUGAGAGAGACUUAACAUCCCCCUUGUCUGUUACUAAAACACAGACCCUUUGUGGGUGCACAGCAGCACCUCUGGGAUGUACCUACUCACAUUGGACAAGUCUUUCCUAAACAACUACUGCUUCCUGAGAACACACAGCUCUGCACAAAUGUACCAAAGCAUCCCUUGGUACGGCACGUGAACACUUUUUUGUUAAGAUGAGAGAGGAUUCAGGUACACAUCAUUGAAUUCAGAAAAGCAGUAUUGCAAACCUAGUGUAUUGGUAUAACACACAUACAACAUAUACAUGGAGGUUAUGCACCUGUGUAAUAUAUACACACCCCCUUAUUCAUGUUUUCGCAAGUUCAGGCUCACACCAGAUUUGUUUCAGCAGGAAAUAUUUUGUAAGUAAUGGCAGGAGAUGUUAGUCAAUACAAUAGUUCUUUCCAGGACCAUAUGCCUGUUCAGACUUUGUGGAGAAAUGAUCAACGAAGAUUCAGAGUUUGGCCUGGAAAGGUGGUGCACAGCAGGAACGCAAAAAGGUUGUCCUCAGGGAUCAAAGGAGGCUUGCAGAGUGUCUGAAUGCUGCCGACUUUUAUCUCCCUGUAUCACAUUAAUUCACAAAGGAUCAGCCCCUAGACACUAAAGAUUUGUCAGUUUUGUCCCAGAUAUAUUCCUUUCAGAUAGAUCUGUUACAGUUAGGCUUCUUAUUGCCAAUGGCUAGUUAGCUCAGAUAAGUAGCUCCAUCCCCUUACUACGCUUCCACCUGCAGCUACUUUCAUACUGUGGUACUGAAGAUACUCCUUUGCUUGUGAAUAGCUGUGAGCAGGGGAAAGCAAACGGGGAGAGGUCCUUCUCCUUGCCCAGGUGGGAGGGUCAAAUAGGAAAGUCUAUCCCCCUGUCUUGCUCUUCUUCCCCUGGGGAGGGGGCGGAUAGUCUGUUUUGUGUCUGGGAAGAGAACACCAGAUCCCCAUGAGGGCCAAAAAGGGCAGCUGUUCAGGGAUGAGAACCUGGUUUUUUCUACUUGAGGGAGCUCCCAGUCAGCUACAGAUCCAAGGUUGCCCCUACAACUUUUCUUCAAAGGGCCUCAAGAAGCACAGAAGACCCCUUAAGCUCAAAAGCUGGUUUCACAUGAGCAGAUAAAUACUAAGUCAAGGCAAAUUUUGUAACUGCAGAAAACUCGGACUGAAACCAGGCUCUGAAAGGUCUGUACCCACACCUGACCCUGGUCCUCUCUUGCAGGCUCUCUCCUGCUCAAAUAACCUUUCACCAGCUUCCUGGGUCAUGUUAAAUGCUACACACUGUCCUUUGGCUCCCCACAAUUAUUUUUCUUUCCUUCAGGAGCUGUGCAUUUGCUAUUCCCAGCAAUUUUCUAAUCCCAGUUAUGCCACAGCUUUCCAGUUCCCAAGAUUUCUCAUUUCUACUUGCUUUUUCUAGCUGUCUCUGUCCUUGGGAAUCUUCCUUCCCACAAAGCAGGCUCAUUUGCUCCCAGGAGGCACCGAUUUCCCUUCCCCUCACUGUGUUCACUUAAUGAGUUGUGUCUAUUUCCAACAUGGUGUAUAACAGAUAAAAACCAUGAAUAGCUUACAUACUUUCUCUCUUUUUGGUGUUUUAGGAAGGGUGUAUUUGGAGGGAUACACGGCAUUCAGUGUAGACACACUGCAGCACAAUGUAAGAGCACCUUAACUAUUGAAAACGCUUGUUUUAGGAAAAAAACAUAGUAGUAUUUUUUCAUACAGCCCUAAAAAAAUCGAAUUCCUAGCCUAUUUUGGGCUUCUAAAACUACUAUGCAAUAAACAUAGCAAGUUAAAUAUACCCAUAUCAUCACAUGUGAACUUGCAUGGGUGUGUAUGAUAAAAAAGGUGAUGUAUACCACAUCUACAUAUAUAAAUACGAAUUGUUUCAGGAAUCAAGCUGUAGAUCUUUUUCUUAUAACCUAAUGCAAAUACAAAUUCAACUGUAACUAGAUGUGUGAACAAGAGGGUCGAAAUGAGGACCUAGAACAAGUGGAAAGAGGAACAAAUUCAGGUGUCUGAAGCUUUUUGCUACUUCUGCACCCCACGCCCUGCAUGAGACCGAACAACAUCUGCGAGCACACGCACCCGGUGGGAUUCUGGGCACGCAGGGGUUGCCAGCCCGAUGGUUUGGGUCUCUCUGCAGCAUUUGGGAAUCGGCCAGGUCAUGAUUUAUCUCAGCCCUAAUGAUAAUUCAGCAUGAAACUGCAAAGCAGAGCGCGGCUUUCUGCAACUCAGGGAAAAGGUACCUCAGAUAUCUCAACCUUCUGGGUACACCCAUGCAAAUGGCAAUCACAACGUUCACCUGCUUGGUGUAGGAACCCACCCUCUAAGAACCACCCUGAUGACCCUCUAACACGGACCACCAGCGCUGGGUGGGACGUCAGGUGUCAGCUCUUGGCAGUGCCACCAGCUUCAGCCCCUCUGUGGACCUGCCCGGGGCUGCCCGUGGCACUGAAGCAGCUGCUUCUCGACUGCAUGUGGACUGAGCUCCUCUGUGAAUUACGGUCCAGUGAACUGUGGUAGAGCUGGCCUGUUUUCCCUGGGCUCGUGGAGCAAACUGCAGGAAGACAUUAGGAAGAGUAUCAGAACUCUGAAGUAGAUGACCUGCAGCCACAUUAAUUAUUGAUUGUGUUAGAAGUCGAUGAGUUGUGCUAAAUUAAUCUGUGCCAAGAAUAAUUCUACAUUUGGAUCUUAUCUCCUUCUUACUACUCUGGGAAAGGUAUCUGGCCCCACAAAUUACUCUGGAGAAAAGGGAAAUAUUUGCUCUGGAAAUGAAAAGUGAAGCAGACAGCAGGUCUCCAUGUUUCCCCAGCAGUGGCACAGCGGCAACAGUGGAUGUUCUCUGCACAAAUCAGCUGGUACUGGAUGGUUUCUUCCUGGAAAAAUAAAUGGAACAUAAACUGAUGGAGUGUGGUAUCACUGAUUUAAGGAGAAGCUGGAGCAGAUGAUGAUGAAGCGAGGUCCUGAGCACCCCUUUCCCAGUGGAGGUACCAGGACAGGAGACUCACAAUCUUCUCGCAUCAUCACUUCCACCCCUGAGGGAUUAGGGGCACGCCUGUAUCAUGGUUACAAGCAUGAAUGAAGCUUGUGCAGACGUAUCUGGGCUUACUUCAGAAGCACAGGCUUGGCCUUCAAGAGUUCCUGCUCAUGUGUUCAGUGUUCAUACAGUAUGUAGUACAACAGCAUCCAUCACUAUGUCUCCCAGGUGCUGCUGCAAUACAGAUGUCAGCCACCUUUCCUUUUGCCUGGGCACCUUUAUCAGUGCCGCUGAAGGGAAGGAACACUGUGUGGGCUGUAAAUUCCUCGCCAAAGACCAUGUAAAUACUUGGACAGUUAGUUCAUGCUGGUCCCUGAGCUGCCGCUGUGAAGUAUUAAACUAACUAGUUAAAGAUGGUUUGCAUGCAUUUGCAGCUACAGCGGAAGUCGAAUGAUAAAUAUUCCCAACCUACUUGCAAAUAGUGGCAAAUUCUGAAUAAAUGUAUGAAAUG